rnacentral:lncRNA from 1 species
CAGCAAAUUUGUAUCUGGUCUAGGACAGGUACCAUCAACAAAACCAAUUUUGUUUUUAACGGACAAGGCAACUAUCAUCUUCCUCUUCCAACCCCCAUAAGCACUACCCGAAAAGGGAAUAGGAACAAGGGAAACACCAGGAACAUCAGAAGAGUAAACAAAGAGAGGGCUUGUAGGGUCAAUAGGUGAGGGAUAAAUAGGGUUCAUAUUUGUCAUCAGAAACAGAACAACAAUGAUGAGAAGAAAUUGAUUCAAUAUCUUUGAACUACAAGAUACAAUAGAUUUUCCAGCAAAAACACAUGCAAGCUCUUAAUGAGAGUGAGAAUAGGGUUACCCGACUUCUACGC